UUUUAUGUGCUACUAAUACAGUCAAACUUGCCUUGGCGACCCCUUUAACUACAGCCUUUUCCUCUUAACAGCAACUUUUGUUGCAGUUACAGUGUCUCACAAAUUUAUUUUUUAGUUGGUUCAAAAACAGUGAACACCGCUACCAGCAGCGUGCGGUCAGAAUCACUGCGCUAGUGGUCUGCUGUCAGCGGCUUAGGCAAAUUCCAUUUUAUGAUGGUGAUAUUGUAUUAGUUUUUGGCAAGUGGAGAAAGUAGGUCUCCUUUUUGUCUGAUACUCCCAUGUAACAUCUGUAUUCUUUGGCACUUAUUACUCAAUCUGAUAGACACUUUUUUCCACGGGAACCCUCACUUAUUAUAUACCAAAAGAAAGAGAAUUUUAUUGCCGUUUUGGGAGAACCCGGUGUGCAUGAAUAUGUGAGCAUCACAAAUAGUUCCAAGAGUUCCGCAUGUUUUAGUUUCACUUCUGAAAUGGUUUUUGUCAUGAGUGCCUUUUAACUUAUUAUGUACCAUUUCCUGCCGUUCAAACCAAAUGGGAAUUGUUCCUUAUUAACUUUAAGUUCUUUGUUUUGCUCUAUGAAGUGUUCUUUUCUGAGUUUACAGUAAGUAAACUGAUUUUUUAAUGUUUCCAAGUGGUUGAGCGCUAUGGUUUACAUAAUUUUAAUUGAUUCAAGAUGGCGGACCGAUCAGCUGAGGGGCGUAUUUCAUCGAUGCUGAAUGAUCUCGAUCGGAUUGGAAUGAGACAAAUCACAGACGAAAAUGAAUUGAAUGAACUGAUUAUUGAUUAUUUCAAUGCAAGACCUCUUGAUUGUGAAGACAGUAGAUUUUAGUUUGGAGGAGACACAUGAUGAGCCAAUUACGACGACGGUGGCCGUGACACACCCACACACACCCACACCCCCCUGCUCAUGAUCUCGAACUUCAUGAAGAAGUCCUGGUUCCUGUUCAACCAGUUCGCGUAACAUCAUCAGAAGGUGCAGUUGCUGGCCAAGGACCUUCGCAGCCCCCCUCCCAUGCUCCCAGUGAAGUAGAUCCAGAGUCCCCGACUGCUGCUCUACAACAAGGUGAUGCUGACCAGUCCAGUAUUGCUGAAGAAGAGGAUGAUGCCUGAGGGGUGACCUUCAUGGAGAACGUGACAGCCUUUGUUGUGCCAGAUGGUAAGGGUGUGGAGCAGUCAGCUUUGAAGGACCUGAAGUGCUGCUGCAAGCUCAAUGAUGGCCAGCUUAGCCACAGCCAGUUCGAAUCAGCUGCUGUUGACGACCUGUGUUUGUCUUUUGCUGGUAUGACAGGAGAGGAGCAUGACAUUGUUAUGUUGGCUCAGCUUUGCUGUGGCAUGCAUAUGGGAGACACUGUUAAACAUUCUAGAAAAAUCAAAGACCUACAAGCGACGAGGACUACUUAUUAUUUGUAUGAACCUGUGAUUUUUGGAGAAUUUUAAAAAUAUAUUCUCAACAUGGGCCGAGAUAAAUUUAAUGCCUUUAUUGCACAUUUUAAGGCUGCUGGAAUUGAGGCCAGGCAACACAAAUUAUCUAAGAGGGCCCCAUAACAUGCUCUGUCUUUUGAAGAUACAAAAGCUGUGGUAGACUUCAUUGUCAACUUUGCUGAGCUCCAUGCUGUUGUGCUUCCAAGACGUCAGCCUGGUCACUGGAACACCAUGUAUGUAUAGUAUAAGGUUUUACGGCGCUCGCAACUGCUAAGGUCAUAUGAGCGCGCUGGAACACCAGUGUCAAACUGCUUCCUACAAAUGUAAGGACGUCAGCCUGGUCACUGGAACACCAGUGUCAAACUGCUUCCUACAAAUGUAACUAAGAAGAAGGUGUAUGAUGCUUACUGAGCCUCUGCCACUGUCAGUGACAGAUGCAUUGUAAGUAGGCUCACAUUCAAUCAUUUAUGGAAGCAGUUGACACUGUUUGUCACAACCAUGCACCCUGCAACUGAUCUUUGUUGGUUUUGUCAGAAGAAUUCGGGUCACCUCUUGCGUACAGCCAAUCUGCCAUAUGCUGAAGAAGGCCAAGCAGUUUUGGAAAUGCUAGAUCAUUUAGAAAAGGCUUCUAAAGAACGCUCCUAUUAUCAGCAGGUUUGCGAAGCCGCUAAAAAUAGUUUGCCAGCUGGUACCACUCUUGGUCAAGAAGAUCGGAGGAGCUGUUCUUUUGAUGGAAUGUAUCAUUAUAGCUUUGAUUUUGCACAGCAAGUGCACUACCCGAGCUACCCAUUGCAGCCGGGUCCGAUAUUUUUUAAAACUCCAAGGAAGUGUGGCUUGUUUGGAGUUACCUGUAAGACAAUACCUUGUCAGGUAAAUAUUCUUUUAGAGGAAUGUGUUUCAGCUGGUAAAGGGGCCAUUUGUGUUGUGUCUCUUCAUUAUUUUUUUGAAAAUUAUGGCAUAAGAGCUGCAUGCUGAAAACUGCAGUGGACAAAAUGAAAAUAACUGCAUGAUGCAGUAUCGUAUGUGGAUAGUCCUUACAGGAAGUCACAUGAGUAUUAAGCUGUCAUUUCUUUUGACAGGACAUACAAAGUUUAGUUGUGACUAGUGUUUUGGUCUUUUCAAAUGCAAGUUUAAGAGUGACAAAAGUUGACUGCCUGGAAGACAUUGCUAAUAUUGUCAGUGAGUCUGCCACAUGCAAUGUCGCAGUUAUGUGGAACUGAGGCAGGGGAUGUUUUGGUGCCGGUAUAUGACUUGACCAAAUUUCUUGGAAAGUUUUUUAAGAAAAAUGAUUGGAAUAAAAAAUACCACCAUUUUCAGUUCCAGGUUGACAGCACAUCUGUAAAAUGUAAAUAAUGUGUUGACUCUGAUCCAAUGGAUUUUGUUUUAUUGUCCAAGGCUCUUGAUUUUAAUUUAAUACCUGAAAUUGUUGUUCCUGCUGGACUUGAUCCAUCAGAUCAAGGCAGUGGUAUUUGUUGAUGAAAUUAGACGUUUUAUUAGUGGAGAGAUGAAAGACAGAGUGACCCCUCUUCCAAAAUGCUCAAAGCCUACCCAAGUGAGCAUGUGUGUACAUGAUAGUGAUGAGAAGAGGGUCCAUCAGAGCCGAAAGCCAGGAAGUGGGGAAAGGGGUGUCUCGACUACGGAUAAGGGGAAGAAAAAGUAGCGUUUUUUUUGUGGGUUUUUUUUAAAGUUUUAAAGAUUCAUUGAGUACUCUAUUUUAAUUUGAACAUUAUUUUAUUUCUAUUAUUCUGACAUUGAACUUGCUGUGGUGAAUUGACAACUUUCAUAAUUUUGUUGUGUGUUGGUUCUGUAGAUGUGUUUUGGCAGCUUUGAUCAGAAGUUUCAUGUUAAUGUCGGUGGUCAUUUCCUUUUUUUUUAGUGUAGGUGUUUUUAUAUCCACGUGCACACAAUUAAGAUCGUGUAGGAGGUGUGUUUCAACUCUGUCUGUCUGGGAGGGACAAUCGGGCCGGAGAGGUACACAACAACUCAGCAGAAAGACUGAGAUAAAUAAAAAUUCACCCCACAUGGAAGUCAAACUCUUCUACAUGUGCUGGUCUGUUGUGAGUGAGUGACAUGAUGCAGACUUAAUAUUAUUAUGUGUAAAUGAGAUUGUUGGAAAGUUUUUCUUGUAUUGUGACAACGUGUUCCCCAUUGGAAUAUACAGUCUGUGGUACUGGUAAUCUGGGUUUUUUUUCUCGUAAUGACGUAACGGUAAAAUGUUACUCAUGGAGGUCAAUUUCCAACUGCAAUUUACUUUGAAUUUAUUUGGUGCAUACCCUAGAGCUCUGGUAUAUCUAAUAUUACUAAUAGUUAUGUCAGGUUUUACUUAUAUGUCAGCAUGCAUCAUUCUUUUCAAUGUACUCAAAUAGAGAUUGAAAAUCUUGGUGCUUUAGUUUCGCAAAGUUACCAAUUUGCUGAAUUGACUUAAAUAAUAUUGAGGUAAUUUCCACUUCCUAUCAUUAAAAUUUUGCAACCCAAGUGAUCGUGAUCAAAUGUACUGGACUGACCUAUUUUUUAAAAAAUGCAUUAUUUUAUUUAAUAUCUCCCUUUGGGGUUUCACGGUUAAAACUGAAAUUGACGGACUUUCAUCGAAUCAAUGGAUUGUGUAGGGUAUGGAAAGAUUUUUCCAUGGCACAAGUAAAUUUUACCGACUUUAGUGACUGGUACAAUGGUAAAAAGGGAUGUCUAAAUUCUUUAGUCUGUGCCUCAAAGUGGUUACUGGUUGUUUUUAUGCAAGCGUGCUAUUCCAUACUGUUUUGGGUUUUUUUGAUGAAAGCAGGUCUAUGUAAUAUCUUUCCUGUGCAUGCAUGGAAAUGUAAAAAUGUCAACGGAUUUCUGUUGGAAAAAUAUUGUGGACAAGAAUUACUAAUAAAUGAUGUGCUUUGUGUUCUAAAAA